GCCGUUGUGGCGAAAUGGUAGACGCAACGGACUUAAAAUCCGUUGAUGAGCGAUCAUCGUGUGGGUUCGAGUCCCACCAGCGGUA
rnacentral:tRNA from 1 species